rnacentral:rRNA from 1 species
UGGGGAAUAUUGCACAAUGGGCGCAAGCCUGAUGCAGCCAUGCCGCGUGUGUGAAGAAGGCCUUCGGGUUGUAAAGCACUUUCAGCGAGGAGGAAGGUGGUGAGCUUAAUACGCUCAUCAAUUGACGUUACUCGCAGAAGAAGCACCGGCUAACUCCGUGCCAGCAGCCGCGGUAAUACGGAGGGUGCAAGCGUUAAUCGGAAUUACUGGGCGUAAAGCGCACGCAGGCGGUUUGUUAAGUCAGAUGUGAAAUCCCCGGGCUCAACCUGGGAACUGCAUUUGAAACUGGCAAGCUAGAGUCUCGUAGAGGGGGGUAGAAUUCCAGGUGUAGCGGUGAAAUGCGUAGAGAUCUGGAGGAAUACCGGUGGCGAAGGCGGCCCCCCUGGACGAAGACUGACGCUCAGGUGCGAAAGCGUGGGGCAGCAAACAGGAUUAGAUACCCUGGUAGUCCACGCUGUAAACGAUGUCGAUUUGGAGGUUGUGCCCCUU